GUGCCAGCAGCGCGGUAAUACCGGCAGCCCGAGUGAUGGCCGAUCUUAUUGGGCCUAAAGCGUCCGUAGCUGGCUGCGCAAGUCCGUCGGGAAAUCCACUCGCCCAACGAGUGGGCGUCCGACGGAAACUGCACAGCUUGGGACCGGAAGGCUCGAAGGGUACGUCCGGGGUAGGAGUGAAAUCCCGUAAUCCCGAACGGACCACCGAUGGCGAAAGCAUCUCGAGAAAACGGAUCCGACAGUGAGGGACGAAAGCUAGGGUCUCGAACCGGAUUAGAAACCCUAGUAGUCC
rnacentral:rRNA from 1 species